AUUAUUAUAUUAUUAUUAUUUUAUUUUUUUGUUCUUUAUAUUACAACUCGUUACGCGUUGUAAAUUUGUAACUUUAAUGUAACACAUAUAUAGAUCAAAAUUUUUAAAGAAAAAAAAAAAAUACAAAGUAAUGCACAUACAUCUAAUAUAUAUAUAUAUAUACAGUCAAUUAUAAAAAAGCGAUAUUUAAUAAGCAUAUCUCAUAUACAUAUAAUAUAUAUAUAUAUUCAUAUGUAAUAUUAUUUGUAUAUACAGAUAAAAAGCUUUAUCUUAAAAAAAAUUUGUAUUUAUACAUAUAUAUAUAUAUAUAUUUAUUUAUUUUUGUAUAUUUAUGUACUUAUUUAUUUUGCAUAAAACGAAUUAUAUCUUAAUCUAUAUAAACUUAUAUGUAACUAUUUGUUCUUAAUAAUAUGUAAAAUAUAAGUCGGUUUCUUUACAACAAUUUUAUAACAUGACUUAUUAAUAAUUUAUGUAUAAUAAUUAAUCACAUAUAUUUAAAUAUAUUAUAAUUAUAUAGAUGAAAUCUUCUUUUUUCUUUAAAUAUAAUAAAAUAUAUAUAUAUAUAUAUAUAAUAUACAUAGAAUAGUGCUAUUUUAUUUAAUAUUUUUUGUAUUUUAUAUGUAUAAUUCUAGAAUAUAUUUAGAGUAUGAAAAGAAAAAUAAAUUAAUUUCACAAGGCUAUAAAUAUAUAUUCAUAAGUAAUAAUAUUACACUAAUAUAUAAAUAAUAUUAAUAUAUUUAAUAUCAACAUAAUCCGUAUUUGUAUCCUUUUUAUAAUGUAGAUUAAAAUAUUACACUCUCUUAUUAAUAUGUAAAUAUGUGCAAAAAAAAAAAAAUUAUAAUUUAAUAAAAUAUAUAUCUAUUUCAGUUUGUAUUUACAUAUAUUAAGCUGUCAUAAAAAUAUAAUAUAAAAAUACAUUCAUAAUUUUUUUAAUAUAUAUUUUUUUAAUUUAUUGAUGCAUAUUAUAAUUAGAUGACAGAUAUGUAAAUAUUAAAAAAUACGUUCAUUUCAAAAGUGAAAAGAAAAUAUGCAUUUUAUGUAAUAUGUAUUUUAUAAAUAUUUAUUUAUUUUUAUGUUUUAUAUAAAAUGUAUCUAUUAUAUUAGAGCAUAUAAGAUUAAUAACAUGAGCAUAAAUAUACUAUAAAUACAUAAUAAAAUAAAUGUAUGUAUAUUUUCAUUUUCUCUGUAUAUAUUAUAUAAUGAUCGGGGUAAUAAAGUAUAAGACAAAAAAAUAUAUUAUCAUAUUUAUAUAUAUUUAAUAAAAAUAUUUUCUAUAUAUAAAAAGUAUUUUUCAAAAUAUUAUAUAUAUAUAUAUAUAUAUAUAUAUAUAUUUAUGUUUCUUUUCUUUUUUGUAAUAUUAUAUUACUAUAUUACUAUACGUAUACUGUAAUAAAAUAUAUAUAUAUAUAUAUAUAUAUAUAUAUAUAUAUAUUAUUUAUUAAUUUAAAAAGAGAUAUAUUUUUCAGUUUAUAUAUAAAAAAAACACAAAUUAUAAAAUUAUUAUAUAUAACAAGUGUGUAAAAAUGUAAAAAUAUAAAUAUAUAAAAAUAUUUCAUUCCACAAUUUUUUCUUAUUUUAAAUUUAAAUAGUAAAAAAAAAAGAAAGAAGACAAUAUCCAAUUUUAUACAUUAAAAUAGUUCUACACAUAUAUGUAAAAAAAAAUAAAAAUAGGCAAUAUCACGGUUCAAAAUACAUAGAAAAAAAAAAAAAUAAUAAAUAAAUAAAUAAUAUUAUAUUAUAUAACAAAGAAAAAUCACGAGGACAGAAUAUUAUUUAUAAAUAAAUAAUAUUAUAAAUAUAUUUAUAUAUGUAUAUGCAUUCAUUUAAAUAUUCAUUAAAUAUAUAAAAUUUUAAAGACAAUAUAAGGUACGUCACAUAUUUCUAUCUUGCACUAUAUAAAUAUGAAGUUAUAUAUUAAUAUUUAUAAGUAUAUAAUAAUAUAUAUAUUAUUAUUGAUAGGUAAAUAAAUAUAAAUAUAUAUAUGCAUAACUUUGAACAUAUGUAUAUAUAUAUAUAUAUAUAUAUAUAUAUAUAUAUAUAUAUGUAAACAAGACACUGAAUUAUAAUAAUUAUAUAUAUAUAUAUUAUAUGCAUUUAUACAUUUGUGUAUAUCUAAAUUUUACUACUUAUUUAUACAUAUAUAUAUAAAUUCAUUUAAAUUACUAGCUUUUUUUUUUUUUUCUUCAAUCUUUAUAAUUUGAAUAAAAUAUUUAUAAAAUAUUUAUAUACCUUAAAAAAAGGAAAUAAAUAAGCAAAAAAAAAAAAAAAAAAAAAGCACAAAAUAUUAUAUUUCUUAUAUAUAUAUAUAUAUAUAUAUAUGUAUGUAUAUUUUUGUUUUUUUGCGUAUAUUUCUUUUUAUAUAUUUAGUUAAGGCAAAUUCGUUUGUAUUCUUAUGCAUCAUAUAAAUAUUUUAUAAUUUAUAUUUGAAAAACAAAAAAAAAAAAAAAGAAAUCCAUAAAUAUAUGUAAAAAUAUAUAUAUAUAUAUAUAUAAUGUGAAUAUUUCGCAAUAUUUCAAAGUACAGAUACAGGUAUACACAGUUGUCAAUAGCAAAAAAAAUUAAAAAAUUAAAUUGUAUAUGACUUUUUAAUUACAUAAAUUAAUUUACUUUUAUAUUGAUAAAAUAUAUGUGUAUUAUUAUAUAGGAAAAAAAAAAAAAAAAAAAAAAAAAAAAAAAAAAAAAAAUCGUAAUUAAGACAUAUAUAUAUAUAUAUAUAUUUGGAAUAUAAACAACAAGGUAAAUAUUUGAUACCAUUUAAAAGUAGUAUAUGUAGAAUUUUUUAAAAAAUAAAAAAAAAUUAAUAAAAAAUAUUAUAUGUAAUAUGCAACUAUUGUAUUAUUAUAUAUAUGAUACAUACGUGUGAAUAUAUAUAUAUAUAUGAGACAAAUAUAAAAUUACAUAAAUAUAUAUAUAUAUAUAUAUAUAUAAUAAAGCUAAUAAAUGUUCACUUUUUUUUUUUUUCAUUAAUAUAUAAUAUAAAUAUAUAUACGAAUAGAAUAUUCUUACACUCUAUAAAAUUAUAAAAUGUAUUUAAAAAAAUCUCUUGAUGAAUAUUUAUUUUUGUGUGUUUAUAUAUAGAUUAACACUUGUUAUGCAUAUAUAGUAUAGAACAUAUUAUAUAGGUCAUAUACAUUUCAUAAAGAAUAUCAAAAAUAUCAUUUGAAAAAACUUAUUAAAAAAUUAUACUUGUUCUAUAAUGAAAAUUAUAAAGUACUACGAAUAAUUUUAUUAAUGUAGAAAGGUUAGUAUAGUAUAUUAUGUAUAAAAUGUUUUUAUAUAUAUAUUAUUUUGUUAUAUAAAAUAAGUUUUUAAUAUUUUUCUAUAAAAUAUAAUUAUAUUUUUUCCAUUAUAACUCAAAGUUUUAUAAAAAUAAAUAUAUAAUAAUUAUAUAUUUUAUGUUUUAUAAUACAGGUAUUUUUUUUUUUUUUAACUUAUAAAGUGUAAAUAUUAUUAUUUCAUAAACACAUUAUUCUAAUUGUAACCACAUAUUGUAUAUAAUAUUAUGAAUUUUUUAAAUAAAGAUAAUAUGUAUAUAUAUACAUAUAUAGUUAUUAUAUAUUUGUAAAAAUAAAAUAAUUAAAAAAUAUUUACAUUUUAUUUCUUAAU
rnacentral:sRNA from 1 species